rnacentral:lncRNA from 1 species
CACUGCUUCCCGCAUCCCACCUCAGGGUUGCCUCCUGGUACCUUCCCGUGUAGGAAAAUGAUUUUGUCCCGCGCAGACUCCCUCAGCACCUUCUGCAGUCUGAAGCCGGAGAACGUCAUCUGCCAGAAGAAAAAUGGUGAUUCUUCCCAGUCCAAAGGUGAAGAUGGUGACUGUGAAAGUAUCAGCUUUAGCCAGACCACUGAUGAAGCUCCCAGAUGUCACAGCAUCCAUGGGCUUGUGAUCUCAGGUGAAGGCAUUGAACCCUGAGCCCUGGAUUCCCAUCUCUUCACUUGCUCCCUCCACCACCCCACCCCCAUAUUCAGAAUGGCCUCUAGGCUUCUAGGUUUGUGUCUUUAAUGGCACCUAGGCAAUAAAUAAAAAAUACAGUGCAGUGCUGACUGCAUCUUCCCUACA